GGCCGACUGGCCCAAUGGCAAGGCGCUUGACUACGAAUCAAGAGAUUGCAGGUUGUGAGUUAAUCUUGAAUAUGCUGUUCCAGAAUCGCAUUCUAACUUUACCCAGCGAUCCCUGCGUCGGUCA